rnacentral:sRNA from 17 species
GCCCAAAGUCGCACGUGCCCGUGGGUGUCCGCCGAUCCUCGAUGUGGUGAGAAAAUCGGUAAGGUACCUGGAACUAACCCCUCCAGUCGCUAUUUCGGCCAACCGAAAAAUGCGAGGACAUCUGAAGCAACGACGGUGCGGGCCUUU